GCAGGCAUACUCGGGAACUGGGGAUAAUUCCGGAUAACGCAUAUUUGCUGGAAUGCUUUAUGCGUCAAAAGGAUUCGUCUGCCCAAGGAUGGGUCUGCGGCCUAUCAGGUAGUAGUGGGUGUAAUGUACCUACUAGCCAGCGACGGGUACGGGUUGUGAGAGCAAGAGCCCGGAGAUGGAUUCUGAGACAUGAAUCCAGGCCCUACGGGGCGCAGCAGGCGCGAAAACUUUACAAUGCGGGAAACCGUGAUAAGGGGACACCGAGUGCCAGCAUCAUAUGCUGGCUGUCCGGAUGUGUAAAAUACAUCCGUUAGCAAGGGCCGGGCAAGACCGGUGCCAGCCGCCGCGGUAACACCGGCGGCCCGAGUGGUGAUCGUGAUUAUUGGGUCUAAAGGGUCCGUAGCCGGUUUGGUCAGUCCUCCGGGAAAUCUGAUAGCUCAACUAUUAGGCUUUCGGGGGAUACUGCCAGACUUGGAACCGGGAGAGGUAAGAGGUACUACAGGGGUAGGAGUGAAAUCUUGUAAUCCCUGUGGGACCACCUGUGGCGAAGGCGUCUUACCAGAACGGGUUCGACGGUGAGGGACGAAAGCUGGGGGCACGAACCGGAUUAGAUACCCGGGUAGUCCCAGCCGUAAACGAUGCUCGCUAGGUGUCAGGCAUGGCGCGACCGUGUCUGGUGCCGCAGGGAAGCCGUGAAGCGAGCCACCUGGGAAGUACGGCCGCAAGGCUGAAACUUAAAGGAAUUGGCGGGGGAGCACAACAACGGGUGGAGCCUGCGGUUUAAUUGGACUCAACGCCGGACAACUCACCGGGGGCGACAGCAAUAUGUAGGCCAAGCUGAAGACUUUGCCUGAAUCGCUGAGAGGAG
rnacentral:rRNA from 1 species